CAACCUCAACUCAUAUGGGACUACCCCCUGAAUUUAAGCAUAUUAAUUAGGGGAGGAAAAGAAACUAACCAGGAUUUUCUUAGUAGCGGCGAGCAAUCAGUUCAGCACUAAGUCACUUUGUCUAUAUGGCAAACGUGAGAUGCAGUGUAUGGAGCGUCAAUAUUCUAGUAUGAGAAAUUAACGAUUUAAGUCCUUCUUAAAUGAGGCCAUUUACCCAUAGAGGGUGCCAGGCCCGUAUAACGUUAAUGGUUACUAGAUGAUGUUUCCAAAGAGUCGUGUUGCUUGAUAGUGCAGCACUAAGUGGGUGGUAAACUCCAUCUAAAACUAAAUAUAACCAUGAGACCGAUAGUAAACAAGUACCGUGAGGGAAAGUUGAAAAGAACUCUGAAUAGAGAGUUAAACAGUACGUGAAACUGCUUAGAGGUUAAGCCCGAUGAACCUGAAUAUCCGUUAUGGAAAAUUCAUCAUUAAAGUUGUAAUAUUUUUUUCAUUUUCAUUUUUCCAUAUAAGGACAUUGUAAUCUAUUAGCAUAUAACAAAUUUAUCAUAAAAUAUGACUUAUAGUUUAUUCAAAUUAUUAUGCUUGCAUUUUAACAUAGAAUAAAUGUCAUUAAUUUGAUAGAGUGUUGAUAAAAUUAAACUUAAUACAGUGCGCUAAUUUUUCGAAUUUAUAUAAUGGCAUAAUUAUCAUUGAUUAACACUGCGAAAGGAUUCAGGAUACCAUUCGAGACCCGUCUUGAAACACGGACCAAGGGAGUUUAACAUAUGUGCUAGUUAUCGGGGAGAUAAACCUACUAGCGUAGUUUACCUUGGACUAAAAAAUGGGGAUUCAGUUUUU
rnacentral:ncRNA from 1 species